AGAUCUUAUUAAAAUCUGCCUGCUAUUGCUAGGUGUGCCAUAUGUAUGGUGGAUUUUGACUACGGUGACGCAAUACGAUUCCUUCCUUGUCUACAUAUUUAUCAUAAAGAAUGUAUUGAUGAUUGGUUAAUAAGAUCAUUUACGUGUCCAUCAUGUAUGGAACCAGUUGAUGCUGCCUUGUUAUCAUCUUAUGAAACAUCAGAUUAAAUGAUUGUCCAGGUAAGCUACAGUACAUAUCUAAUUUAUCGAGACAUAAAUUCUUACCCAAAUGUUCAUAUAUUGCAAUGUCUAAAUGAACGUAUAGUUAACUUGCUUUCUGACUCGUGUCUGAUCACGGAGCAUAGCUACGAUGGAAGGGUAGUUUGGGAUAUUUCGUAUAAACCCACCCUGUCAAUAUUCACUGUGGAAGGAAACCGGAGAGCCAGAGAAAACCCAUCCACUAUUUUCGGUAUAGAGCGUUGACUGACUCUUUUUCAUGUAAAUGCAGGGCCGCAGAGAGGGGGGGGGNNNNNNNNNNNNNNNNNNNNGGGGGGGGGGGAAUUGCCCCGAGGUGCUGGGGGCCUCUGAAAAUUUUUUGUUGAGCCCCAGUCUUUUUUGUGUGUUAAAUAUUUCCGCGCAAAGGACAAGAUAUCUGUUUUUUGGGCUAAGUACCGAAAUUUGGCAUGAAAAAAUGAGAUAAAGUCUCUGGAAAGCAAUUGCAACGUAUUUGUCCGGAAAAAAAUUUUACCUAAAAAGUUGUCGACGGGGGGGUGGNNNNNNNNNNNNNNNNNNNNCCCCCAAGCUAAGUUUACAUGUUUCCUUGUUCCAUAUGAUUUUUUGGCAUAGUUCCCAUGUUCCUUUUGCAAUAUAUGCCUUGUUCUCUAAAAUCCCCUUUAAUAUGGUGUUUAAUUAAACACCAGAAAUACCAAAUAGAUUCUAUAUUGUAGGUAUAUCAAUAAUAUAUUUGAACUCCAAUAUUGAAUAUCAGAUAGUUCAUAUUAUUCACUUUACACAAACAUAGUUCAACCCACACACAGUUGUUCAACCCACAUUACAUAAUGUCUUCCUCUAAGCAACACUAUGUUUCAUUGUGGGUGUAUAUAUGUUAGUAGGUUUGUUGGGUAUGUAUCUUAGGGUUGUUUUAAAAGAUAUAAACCUUGGUUACCCCCUAUAAUUAAAAGGUUUUUUUAAUAUGCAUAGCUGUCUCAGCUUGGUUAUCUUUAUCUAGUAAUUACAUGACUGUUUAGAUUUUAUUAUGCAUUCUUAAUGACACAACAGUGUAGGCAGUGUUGAUUAAACAUUUCUCCAUUGAAGGAUAUCACUAACCUGAACAGUGUAUAAAACUUUGACACAACAGACGUAUGUAUGUCCCUUGUAUGGAAGUCAAGGCCGGAUUUUUGGUGGAAAUGGUGGGGGAGGUGGAGAAAAUUUAGGGGAGGUGUUGUGGUCUAGCUUACAGUCCCCAUGAAAUAUUUAGGGCUUAGAACGUAGCCCCUAAAAUAUAUAUUAUUAUGCAUGUACUGUGCAUAUGUAUCAGACUGAGUGUAUUUAUGUACGAUUCAUCCAAUUUCACCCUUUGCUACCAGUACAAAGCUUCUUUCACACAUUGCAUUAAAAAUAUGGUCACAUUUGUCAAAGUGUCAUUUUGAUCUAUCAUGUAACGUUUCCAAAGGGGAGGUGCACGAAUCUUCAGAGGAGGUGGAUGAAUCUUCAGGGAAGGUGCAAAAAAUCUCAGGGGAGGGGCAAAAUGAUCUCUGGGGAGGUGCACACCUCCCCUCAAAAUCUGGCUAUGAUGGAAGUUUGUGAUGGGCCUCAAAGGUUUUUCUCUAUGUUUGAAGUAUUGGAUAUCCUUCAACUAAAACAAAAUUCUUAAUUUCUUACUGUUCGUAAUGGGAGAGUUUGAAGUCAGGGCAGGUGGGUGUUGUGUGACACCUGCAAAUUUAAUGUAUGAUGAGAUGUGCUUUACAAGUUAAUGUGCUUUACAAGUACCUGUAUGUGCUUUACAAGUUAAUAAACUGUAAUAUGAAUUCUAUGGUACAACCCCCUUCAAAUGAUUUAUUUGGGAACUUGUUACUCUAAGUUCAGUGGCAAUUUUUAAACCCCCUUACAUGUCAUUUCCCAUGCUCACUCUUUCUGAGCAAAGAGCAAGCAUGGACAAUGACGUCUGGGUUCGCGGACUACCCUCUAUUUAGCCUCAUCCACAUUUAAACACAUGUGUAAGUAAUUGGCCCGUUUUUUCCUCACUGUGUUUUAAUAUAAAGAAACAUCAUGUGAAACACAAACGAUUUCUGUUUGAUCUGAGAAACCCUGGGAAUGAAGAUGAGUUUGCUCUAGAAAAAUUCCAUCAUGCCCAGUACACCCAGUAAGAAUAGCCCAUCACAAUGGCCAUAUCCAGCAAGUAUUCUCCCAAUACCACAGGCUUAUUUUUCCAAAGACUUGCAAUGAAAAAUUGAAAGCUUUACAUUUUACACAGAGCUGGAAACUUUGUGUAAAGACAUCUGUUGACAAUAUCAGCCCACACGAGUGGGAGAAAAUUUGCCAAUUUUGACCAAUCUGCAUAUUUAACUGCGCAGUGCAUGCUGGUUUAAUUGUUAUUUUACUCUGCCCAUUGCCAGAAGGUUUUACUCACCACUUGAGAGAAGAACUCUGAUGCUCAUUGGGUUAAAUGAACCUCCAGGCCNNNNNNNNNNNNNNNNNNNNGGGGGGGGGGGGUUGUUCUCCGAAAAUAAUUUUUUCCGGAAAAAUGUUUUUAGAUAGGGGCCCCUAAAAAAAAAUUGCCCCGGCCCCCUCCAACCUCUCGGCGGCCCUGUGUAAAUGUCCUGAGUCAGUAGCGAGAAUCGAACCCAUGAUCUCAGAGGUGAAAGGCGCUUGCUCUGACGCCUGCGCCACUGAUGCUCCGCAUUGUGUACCUUCUGAUCUGCUCAAUGAAGCGUAAUUGUAUAUGAUAUAUUCCAUAUUUUCAUUAUUCCGUAGGUCAUAAAAGUGAUCACUGCACAAGAAAUGUAGACAUUUUUGUAGAUUGUAAUUAAUUAAUUGGCGUUGUUUACAGUUGAAAUGAAAGUAGCUGCGACACGGGGCAUCAAGUUGCCUUAAGGCUAUGUCAUGUUUCUUCCACUUCCUUUCUUAUUUUUAUGCAAAGGUAUAAUGUACACGAAAACGGAACAGUUUGUAAUCGCAUGUCACUUUCAUACUAAUCAACUUUUCAAAGAGCCAAGCUUUUGAAGAGCGGACUAUGUAGUCUAGUCAUCACAAAAUAUGUAUUUUGCAAUGAAAUGUUAACUUGUGUUUCAUCUUGAAAAUUUAACAAAGUUUAACAUUUCAUUGCCAAAAAACCCUUUAAGUUGGAAAGAUUCACAUUUAUUAUUUAGACUUGAUUUUCUCGCCUAUCGUCAAAAUAUUUUAAUAUAAACUUGAUUUCUUAGAUGCAUACACUGCAGUGAUAUACAGCAUUCGCGUCGAUCUAUAUCUGAUAAAACUACGUCUAGCCUUGUAAAUCAGAUACAGAUCCACUGCUCAUGCCUAAAGCCUGUUUUAUACGUCGAAUUUUGGUCGCGUCGAAUGCAAUUAAGACAAUAGAUAAUGAGAUGAUAAAGCUCAUUAAGCUUCAUUAUCUAUUGUUUGAAUUGCAUUCGACGCGACCGAAAUUCAACGUAUAAAACAGGCCUUAUAUAUUACGUGAAGUGAUCCAGUUAAUUAUAUAUUGUAAUUAAUUCAGCGCUACAAACUCUAAUCCGUUUCCCACUGUAGUUGGCAAAACACAACUUUUUAGUAGACGUUAAGCUACUGUGCAUGUACCUUACCAACAUUAUAGAGAGGUUCAGAUUUAUUUCAUUACAAUCCUCCACACAAAUUCGGGAAAACUUUCAAGCGCCUCCCGGAAAGUACCGAUGUCACAGUGAUGUGUGUAUCCUCAUACUCGUAUCACUAUAGAGUUGGGGUUAGAAUUGGUGCUGGGGAUACUGCAUGUGUAUGGGAAUACACCGGGGAUAUGUAGAUUCCAUGCACACCCAUCCCGUAGGCUUAUGAACUUAUAACGAUAGUUAUAUUUGCAAUUUAUUUUUGAAUGUAAAAAUCUGUAAAAAGUAUUGGUUGGUAAAUAGUUUUAGAAAAAGGAAUUACGUUUUGAUGCAGUCACUACACAAAGAGUGAGUGAGAAACUAUGCAGCACAUUUAUUGGAAUUUCAUUGAUUGGAUCAAACUUAUCGAGCAAUAUAUUUUUGUUUUCGAACUGAGAAAAUCCCUUGAAACAUAAACCUCGUCCCCACGACUUUGCCAGGUAUGCUAAUCGCUUUUAAAGAUGAGACAAAAUAUUACAAUAAACAUUUAAAUAUGAAUCUUAAUACAAAUAUAAAUUGUAAACAUACAUGUACAUGUAAACUUGAUGUUUUGUCUCUUUUGUAAAAGCGUGUGCCGUGUGGGGACGAUUUUGUUUGAAUAUAGAUAACAGAUGUUAUAAUGUAGAUAUCGAUUAUAGAUCAUAUAUUCUCUGAAUCAUUGACUUGAUAACAUAGUCAUAGGUCCCUUGCACGCCAGCCAUUUAAGUAGUUACGAUUUGCCAAAAUAUUGGGUAGGAUGUACAAUCCGGAAGUACAUUCCAGAUUAACCAACAAGAAAUAACUGCAAGUUAUGACAUUCGACAAUACUGUAUACUUCGUUCUGGUUUGUGUGCAAGGGAUCUAUAGAUAUAAUAACACUGUAUUUCGCUUAUGGUUUAGCUUAUGACUAAUGUAAAUAAUGUAUUUUGUGUGUGUGUUGUGUGUUGUUGUUUUUUUUGCAUAAAUCAGACGAUGUAAAUAGCAAGGGAGACUAAUUUAUAGAAUAAACAAAUUUAUAGAAUACGAGCAUUGGUUGUGCAAUAUAUAUCCGUUCAUAUAUGAAACAUGAAAUUCUAAUCAGCACGACACGUGUCCCGCGC
rnacentral:lncRNA from 1 species